AUGUUAGCAUACAUAAUUUAGAUUUUUUUACAUAAUAUAAAGUAAUUAGUCAAUCACAUAAUUUACAACAAUAAUAAUGCAAGUGAAUUGUGCCCAUUUUCCUCAAUGAGGACUAUAUGAAAUCUCUUCAAAAUUGCCUUCUAUUCUUCUCAAGAGACCAAAAAGACAUUGGAGUGAAACUCUAGCUCUCCACACAUGCCCCAAGAAUAUGAAUACAAUACCAUCCAAACA
rnacentral:misc_RNA from 1 species